AACGAACGCUGGCGGCAUGCCUAACACAUGCAAGUCGAACGGGACCUUCGGGUCUAGUGGCGCACGGGUGCGUAACGCGUGGGGAUCUGCCCUUAGGUACGGAAUAACUCAGGGAAACUUGAGCUAAUACCGUAUAAUGACUUCGGUCCAAAGAUUUAUCGCCUAGGGAUGAACCCCGCGUAGGAUUAGCUUGUUGGUGAGGUAAAGGCUCACCAAGGCGACGAUCCUUAGCUGGUCUGAGAGGAUGAUCAGCCACACUGGGACUGAGACACGGCCCAGACUCCUACGGGAGGCAGCAGUGGGGAAUAUUGGACAAUGGGCGAAAGCCUGAUCCAGCAAUGCCGCGUGAGUGAUGAAGGCCUUAGGGUUGUAAAG
rnacentral:rRNA from 1 species